GAAUCCAUAGGUUAAUGAGGCGAACCGGGGGAACUGAAACAUCUAAGUACCCCGAGGAAAAGAAAUCAACCGAGAUUCCCCCAGUAGCGGCGAGCGAACGGGGAGGAGCCCAGAGCCUGAAUCAGUGUGUGUGUUAGUGGAAGCGUCUGGAAAGGCGCGCGAUACAGGGUGACAGCCCCGUACACAAAAAUGCACAUACUGUGAGCUCGAUGAGUAGGGCGGGACACGUGGUAUCCUGUCUGAAUAUGGGGGGACCAUCCUCCAAGGCUAAAUACUCCUGACUGACCGAUAGUGAACCAGUACCGUGAGGGAAAGGCGAAAAGAACCCCGGCGAGGGGAGUGAAAAAGAACCUGAAACCGUGUACGUACAAGCAGUGGGAGCCUCUUAAUGGGGUGACUGCGUACCUUUUGUAUAAUGGGUCAGCGACUUAUAUUCUGUAGCAAGGUUAACCGAAUAGGGGAGCCGAAGGGAAACCGAGUCUUAACUGGGCGUUAAGUUGCAGGGUAUAGACCCGAAACCCGGUGAUCUAGCCAUGGGCAGGUUGAAGGUUGGGUAACACUAACUGGAGGACCGAACCGACUAAUGUUGAAAAAUUAGCGGAUGACUUGUGGCUGGGGGUGAAAGGCCAAUCAAACCGGGAGAUAGCUGGUUCUCCCCGAAAGCUAUUUAGGUAGCGCCUCGUGAAUUCAUCUCCGGGGGUAGAGCACUGUUUCGGCAAGGGGGUCAUCCCGACUUACCAACCCGAUGCAAACUGCGAAUACCGGAGAAUGUUAUCACGGGAGACACACGGCGGGUGCUAACGUCCGUCGUGAAGAGGGAAACAACCCAGACCGCCAGCUAAGGUCCCAAAGUCAUGGUUAAGUGGGAAACGAUGUGGGAAGGCCCAGACAGCCAGGAUGUUGGCUUAGAAGCAGCCAUCAUUUAAAGAAAGCGUAAUAGCUCACUGGUCGAGUCGGCCUGCGCGGAAGAUGUAACGGGGCUAAACCAUGCACCGAAGCUGCGGCAGCGACACUAUGUGUUGUUGGGUAGGGGAGCGUUCUGUAAGCCUGUGAAGGUGUACUGUGAGGUAUGCUGGAGGUAUCAGAAGUGCGAAUGCUGACAUAAGUAACGAUAAAGCGGGUGAAAAGCCCGCUCGCCGGAAGACCAAGGGUUCCUGUCCAACGUUAAUCGGGGCAGGGUGAGUCGACCCCUAAGGCGAGGCCGAAAGGCGUAGUCGAUGGGAAACAGGUUAAUAUUCCUGUACUUGGUGUUACUGCGAAGGGGGGACGGAGAAGGCUAUGUUGGCCGGGCGACGGUUGUCCCGGUUUAAGCGUGUAGGCUGGUUUUCCAGGCAAAUCCGGAAAAUCAAGGCUGAGGCGUGAUGACGAGGCACUACGGUGCUGAAGCGACAAAUGCCCUGCUUCCAGGAAAAGCCUCUAAGCAUCAGGUAACAUCAAAUCGUACCCCAAACCGACACAGGUGGUCAGGUAGAGAAUACCAAGGCGCUUGAGAGAACUCGGGUGAAGGAACUAGGCAAAAUGGUGCCGUAACUUCGGGAGAAGGCACGCUGAUAUGUAGGUGAAGCGACUUGCUCGUGGAGCUGAAAUCAGUCGAAGAUACCAGCUGGCUGCAACUGUUUAUUAAAAACACAGCACUGUGCAAACACGAAAGUGGACGUAUACGGUGUGACGCCUGCCCGGUGCCGGAAGGUUAAUUGAUGGGGUUAGCGGUAACGCGAAGCUCUUGAUCGAAGCCCCGGUAAACGGCGGCCGUAACUAUAACGGUCCUAAGGUAGCGAAAUUCCUUGUCGGGUAAGUUCCGACCUGCACGAAUGGCGUAAUGAUGGCCAGGCUGUCUCCACCCGAGACUCAGUGAAAUUGAACUCGCUGUGAAGAUGCAGUGUACCCGCGGCAAGACGGAAAGACCCCGUGAACCUUUAC
rnacentral:rRNA from 1 species